CCUCGAUACUUUUGAGUUCCCUCCAUGAUUUUACACUCAUUAAAACUUCCCUCCAAAUCAAAACCCUAAAAUAACUUUUUCCCCAAAUCAAAACCUAAGAACCAGUUCAUCAUUCAACAACUUGGACCUCAUCAACCUGCUUCAUCUCUGCUACCACGCCUUCUCGACGAAGCGAGUCUAGCCAACGAGGUCGCCGACGAUCGCUACCUAUUCGCUCUAUCCUAGAACCCCUGCUAAUGCCACCGUCCCAAUCCUUUUCCCCAUUCUCACACAUUUGGAUUCUUUGAACUCCUCAUCGAUGACGGAGUUUAGGUUUUCGAAGUCAUCCACUUACGAACCACAAUUGUCUUCCUUGUCAUUGUGAAUGCAUCGCAAAGACGACAAUAGCGAUACCGAGGAAUAACUGCUAAUUGAGAAUGCAAAGAAGGACAACUUGAAUUUGCAAUUUUCGUGAAUUUGAUUGAAGUAGGGAAGGGGAAAAACGGGAAUCACCAAUCCAUAAGCGAAAAAUAGGAAACUCACUAGAAAGAACAACGUUGCCGUAUCCUAGUGACCCACUUCGUUUCACACAAUCCAAUAGUUUGGUUUCUUCUUGGCAUGAUAUUCCAUUGCCAUCGGGUGAUGAUAUCUUCAACUUAAUUGUUGAGAUUCCUAAAGUAUCCAAUGCAAAGAUGGAGGUUGCAAUUGAUGAAGCUUUCACUAUCAUAAAACAAGAUACAGAAAAAGGGAAAGCUCCGAUAUUACAUCUACAAUAUACAUUGGAACUAUGGCUUACUUCCACAAACAUGGGAAAAUCCAUCUUUUGCAAACUCUAAAGUUGAAGGAGCACUGGAGAAAAAGAUCCAGUUGAUGUUGUUGAGAUUGGUGAAAGAGAGAAAAAUAGGUGAGGUUUUGAAGGUCAAACCCUUGGGUGCAUUAGCCAUGAUUGAUGAAGGAGAACUUGAUUCGAAAAUAGUUGCAAUCUCAGUAGAUGAUCCAAAGGCAUCAUUGGUGAAUUAUGUUAAUGACAUUGAGAAGCAUUUUACUGUAAUAUCUCUAUUACCUAACUAUCUGAUAACUUCUUUCAUAAGUUUGCUCUUGUUCAUUUUGUAGUUUAUUAUUAUAUUGAGCAGCUAGGUGAUUUGUUAACUGUUUGAUCCAAGCCAGGUGAUUUUGUAGUUAGGGUAGUCAACUUAUUUACCAUUCUUGCUUUCUCUUGAGCUUUAUAGAGUUAUAGUAUAGUCUUCUUCAACUUGUUUCUUCAAUGUUUGUGAUGACUUGGAAUUGAAAGUGACUUAAAAUUAAUCUUUCUUCUUAGUGUUUAACAGGAAUGGAGCUACCUUAGGAGUGACCUUACAACUAUUGAUCGUGGCUAUGGAUGGAUUUAUAACAUUCACCAUGACAUUGGAACCCAUGUCAUUCAUCACCUUUUCCCUCAAAUACCACAAUCUCUCUUAAAUGAAGCAUUGUGUAACUAUUGUGGCUUUUUGUUACUUGUUUACUGGCUUUAUUGCAGGCUUGCACAUAUUUUUGUCUUAUUUCAUAUUGUAUGAGGCAUUAUGUAAAUAUUGUGGUUUUUAUAACUUCUUUCUUGGCUUUAUACAGGCUUGCAUUAGUAUAUGCUUCCAAAAACAUUAGUGGAGUUCACAAGCAAGGUUGGAAGUACCUACCAAAAAGGAAAAGCAUCAGAAACCUCAACAAACUCAACAAGAAAAUGAAACAAGAUGAUGUUUUGUAGUGAACUUGUUUAAGUCAUCAGCAUUAGUUCAUAUGUUUUCAAUUGGUCUAGUUGUAUUUUAUCAUGCUAGAUUUGUUAGUCAAUCUUGCAAUGUUUUUUAAACAUUGUGUAUUUUUUUAUAUUUGCAUUGUAAUUGUCAAUGAAUGUACAUUAUCUUAAAUUGUUAA